rnacentral:tRNA from 1 species
GAGGGUUUAGCUCAAUGUAAGAGUGUGUGCUUAGCAUGCACACGGUCCUGGGUUCAAUCCCCAGUACCUCCA